GAGUCCGGGAGCAGUACCCUCUGUGGACUGGGGGCAGGAAGGCCUGCUUCCUCCCGCCCAGCUGGAGCGCGCGGCUGGGGUGAUGCGCGCGCGCCCGCCGCUCACCGCCGGCGGCCCUGGGCGGCCGACGACGGGAAGGCGCGACGCCGGGGCUGAGCCUCCCAGUCGCCUCAGAGGGUAACACACCCGUCCGCCUCGAGUAAAUGCAGGACUUGCUGGCUCUUUGCAGAUUUCCAGAGCAGACUCCUGGGACCGACGUUGGUGUUCUCACCAGGAAGACCCACUGGCGCUGGGAGUUCCCUCAUGUAGAGAAAUCACUUCAAGCUGGAUAGGAAAAGAACAAGGGCGGUCCAGAAGAAUGUAAGCCUGAGAUCAGCCGCAUGUCAAGAAGAGAAAAUCCAGCUACUUUAAGGGCCAUCAAGUUUCUAUGUCCAGAAAUAUUUUGUCCCAGGAUGUGGGUUGCAAAUUUUUAGUAUUAUAACUUUUUCAGACAAAUCUUAUAUGAACCUUAAUUUUUUUUAAUGUUUAAAUAAUUUUUUUGUAUACAUUUAAAGUUAAAACUUAUUUAACAUUCACUUCUUGUAAAGUUAAUCUAUGAGGAAAAAUUAUUGUCUUGAUGAAUACCAAAUUUGGAACAAUUAAUAUAGGUAUGACCAUUGCAAUCUUACAUAAGCUCAGCAUUUAAUUUACUUCUAUACAUUAUUUUAGUUGCAAAGAGUAAACAAAUAUUUAUUAGAAAACAAAACAAAAACAGCUUGCCUUAUCACCUGUUAUUAAAACUGAUCCAGAAAUUUGAAAAAAGGAGUACUAGAACAUUUAAAAAUUUCCAGAUAAUCAUAAUUAAGACUAUUGAAUUUCUUGUCCAGGAUACAAAAGUCAGUCAUGAACUACCCAACACUUUUUAUAAGCAGUAGAGCCAGGUGACAGGUUACGCAUUCACUUGUGAAAGAUCACUGAGGCCUGACAGGAGCAGGGACCAAAUAGAUGCUUCUGAGUCUGGUGUGACUGAGUGCUGCAUUUUGGAGAACUUUGUUACAGGAACAGACAUAAAAGGUCAGUGCAGACCCAUAACCUUCCUAAUCAGUGGUACAUGACUGACUAGUCUAUGGUGGUAGAGUCAGAUGGUGAUGGGGGAAGGGUGCCAGUGACUUGAAAGGGCAUAAGGGGACUCUCUGCAGUGCUGGACAUUGUCUAUAUCUUGAUAUGGGUGGCGGUUAUAUGGAGUAUAUAUGUAUGAAAAUUCAUGAGCUGUAUACCUAAGAAUUGUGCAUUUGACUGUAGGUAAAUUAUACUUCAAAGUCCUAUUGGCUGAAAGAGAGAGGGAGAAGAGAGAGAAGCAGGGAGGGCCCAAGAAACUCUAUCCCAGGAUUUGCUCAUAAACUUGUCAGCAAAAGUUUAUGUGCCACAUAUAUGGAAUCUUAAAAAAUGGUACUGAUAAACCUAGUGGCAGGGCAGGAAUAAAGACACAGACAUAGAGAAUGGACUUGAGGACACGGGGAGAAAGGGGAAGCUGGGACGAAGUGAGAGAGUAACAUUGACAUAUAAUCACUACCAAAUGUAAAAUGGAUGGCUAGUGGGAAGCUGCUGCGUAGCACAGGGAGAUCAGCUCGAUGCUCUGUGAAG